rnacentral:lncRNA from 1 species
GGAAGGCCAGCUCUUGUUGGGUUCUAACAACUAUGGAGAGCUAGUUGCUAUUCUAGGAACUUCAGAUGCCUUAAGUCAUUUAUUUUUCUCAAUUAUCUUCUGUGGUUAGCCAAAUUUACAGAGGAAUAAACUGAAGCACCAACGGAAGAAUAACGCUUCAAAAGUCUCACAGAAGGAUCUUGACGACAGGAAACACAUCCCCGGUGAGCACAGCUUGAUGGCAGGCUCAAAGGCUGGCCG